UACUUAUCCAGAGUGGUGGAGGGACUGGCCCUUUGAAACCCGGCAACCUUUUUGGUAAGGUGCUAAAUCCAGCAGGUUUUUCCUGAUAGAUGAGUG
rnacentral:ncRNA from 1 species